rnacentral:rRNA from 1 species
GUGGGGAAUAUUGGGCAAUGGGCGAAAGCCUGACCCAGCAACGCCGCGUGAAGGAAGAAGGUUUUCGGAUCGUAAACUUCUAUCCUUGGUGAAGAUAAUGACGGUAGCCAAGAAGGAAGCCCCGGCUAACUACGUGCCAGCAGCCGCGGUAAUACGUAGGGGGCAAGCGUUGUCCGGAAUGAUUGGGCGUAAAGGGCGCGUAGGCGGCCCGGUAAGUCUGAAGUGAAAGUCCUGCUUUUAAGGUGGGAAUUGCUUUGGAUACUGUCGGGCUUGAGUGCAGGAGAGGUAAGCGGAAUUCCCGGUGUAGCGGUGAAAUGCGUAGAGAUCGGGAGGAACACCAGUGGCGAAGGCGGCUUACUGGACUAUAACUGACGCUGAGGCGCGAAAGUGUGGGGAGCAAACAGGAUUAGAAACCCCGGUAGUCC